GUUACCCUUUUUAGUCAUACUAAUAUGAAAUGAUUAUUCGUACUAUCCUUAUUUUUGCCAUUUGUAAGUUCUAUUUUUUGUCACAUGGAGCGCAAGUAGCGUAUGUCGCAGUUCUCUUCAGUCAAGCGCUGUCAAUCAGUGAAUCAAGUCGAAGGUGAAAGUGCUUAAAGUGAAAAUUUUAAUCGUUGUGAAAAUUGUUCGAGUAGUGUUAGAUGUCCAACAUUUUCCGUCUACUAACGUGGAACACACGGACGGGAGCACCUGUAUGCGCUGAUCGUUCAUAAAACUCAUAAAAACUACAAAAAAAAUUGCGACAACACCUACUUGGAUGAUUAAGUAGUGUUCCGAGUGAAUUUGAAACAACAAAGGUUGAAUACGGGGUAAGUUUUAGUGUUAAUGGUUUCUCACUGAUAAAUUACACCUCAAUUAAACUUUGAAAGAGUACUAAGAGGCGUAUUGGUGCUUUCAAAAGGGUAAAAAGGAAAGUAUUGUAUGACUUUAGUGGCCGCCAUUUUGAAAUCCCCAAGAGCAAGAAGAUCUACCUUAUGAUGAAAACGCGUAAAAUUAACCUUUUUUCGUUAUACUAAAUAGUCUUUUUAGGGAUAAUAUACUGUUUAACCUGUUUAACAGUAUUUAAGAUUAAUUUUACACAUUUUACAUAUAUUUCGGAAUAUAUUUUUAAAAUAAUGAAAUAUUUUCUCUUUUAGAAAAAUAUUUAUAACUUUUUCAAAGAAAAUAAAACAAUUAUGAAUUUAAGCUUAAAAUGAACUCAGAGUAAUGAUUAUUCUUAUGCAAAUUUUAAAGUAAUUUCAGUUUGGAAUUUGGAGAGAUGACAGCAUCAGAAACCGAUUCGAAAUCAUCAUUUAUUGCGAUACUGGAUACAUGGCUGGAUUUGAAACAUUCAUGAGGAUUUGAGUUGGAUCAAAACAUUAAUCUACUCAGGUGGAAACUAAAUUCGUAACCAUGUAUCCUGAUGGUGAUGAAUUCCCUUGCGAGAAGUGUGCCGAACUUAAGGCAAACCUUUUUUGGGACGGAAAUAAAUGACGAACUUUUUGGAAAACUGGACGAUUCUAGCACAAACGAAGAUUCGCGAGGAUUUAUUAAAAGUUUAGUCAUCAGUAUCCCAAUCCUUCCAGACCGUGAGCAGGAAAACAAGAAACUCACAACUCCAAAUGCCCGGCGUGGGAUUAUUUUACGAGUGAAGUCCAGAAAUGAUUGAAAAGAAAUUUAAAAUAAGCUUCAAGAAAAUCUUGAAAAGUUAAGAAAAAUUCUGAAGAAACAUUUGAGCUCCAAAC